UUCAAUGUUUCUGUUCUCUCUAUGUCUGUUUUGGUGAAGGAGAAUAAUGUUUUUAAUGCUUCAAAUGUAUGUUUACAUGGUGCAGUGGUUCGAGAAGGCCAGAAAGAUGUGGGUGAAGGGAUGGUCAUCAAGAAAUGAGGCUAUGAUAAAGCUGGCUGAAGACUUCUUUAAUAUACUGAUGAUGACAGGAUUGUCCCAGACUCCCAACCGGUGAGAAAGAAAAGCUCAUAGUGAGUGUUUUUCUACUGACAUUUCACGUACAGUUUCUCAACUGUUUAACAUUGUGUCCAUUGUAGAGAGGAUUCUGUCUGCUCAGUGUUCACAACAUAAUGUUUGGUUGUUUGUCUAUGUUUUAUGUGUAACUGAUCAGUUCACCAGCUCCCUGGAGCUUGAAGUCUAGUAAAAGGAAAAUCUCGGUAUCUGGAUCACUGCUGACUUGGCAAAAAGACUGCUCUUAAAACAACACUCUAUCAGAUGGUAGUUCUCAUCACCCUCCUCAGCGUCUGUCCGCGGCACAGUGCCCUGACCCAGAAGCAGCUGCACACACAGCAAAAAACCUGCUCAAUAAGAGCUGCUGUCCAUCCUCCACUGUAAGUCAUUUAGAAAGAAAGAAGCAUUUGCAAUGUCAAAACAAUACAUCUACUGUAGUUUAAAAUGUGAUGGGUUUUUUUCUGCACAUUGUGUUACAGAAGAAAACUGGUGUCAAGAGUUCAAGCUUGCACAAAGCACAUGACAUAUCCAAGAAGGAGUUCCAGCGGCUUGAAUAUUGCCUUUUUUUCCCUUCACUCACUGAAUAACUGAAUAUUCUGUUUGAAAAUUGCUUUUAUAAUUCACUGAAUUUACUGUCUCCUCAGGGAUAUUUAUGCAUUUACGGAAGACAGGCAUAACAUUAGUGUGGUAUGGACAUUAAUAGCUCUAAAUGCAAACUAAAUAAACACUAUAAUAUUAAAAA